rnacentral:lncRNA from 1 species
UGAAAUUAUAAUCAAUUGAAGUUAAGAUAUUUUUUUAAGAUAUAUUAUUUCUAUUUUGAAAAUACAAGGAGUUUUAUGAUAGAUUUUGGAAAUCAAUGAAGUGCAUACAAGGAUGAUUUUAAGAUUUAUAUCUCUUAUAUAAGAAUUUCUAUAUUUGAAGUUUGUAUGAAGAAGUUAUAGAACAUUGAAGACAACAUAUGUAAUUCAAAGGUAGUAAGUAAGUCAUU